GGCCUGGGGUGGGUUUUGGCAUGUAUUAUCGGAGUAUAAAUCUGAAGGAGGUCAGUUUAGCUCUAGAAUUACCGAGGCCUG
rnacentral:snoRNA from 1 species